AAGGAGAGAGAGAGAAGGGGGUGGGCCGGCGGGUAGAAAAGAAGGGGGCUAACGGUUGGGGCCCAGGUGGAAGUGAAGGAGGAAAAGAAGGGGGCCAACCUAAGAAGGCCCAUGUGUCAGUACGUGAGGUAGGAGUGGAGUGAGUGAGAAAAGUUUGAUCGGAGGUUUUGGAUAAUCAUAUGUUUUCCCUUUUGUAGAUAAAUCGUUUAAAUUCAGUUUUCACCAUUUAAUUCACGGGAAAUUCUAGAAUUGUCCAAAAAUAGUGAAACAAAUUUUGUUAGGAUUGUUUUAUUUUCCUUUAUGCAUUAAAAUUUUUAAACCUUAGGAAAAAUAAUAAAAUUUAGGUAUUUAUUUAAUUCCUUUUGAUUAAGGUAUUUAAAUAAAUGCUUAACCUUUAUUAAAUGCAUAAAAUUUUGAAUAAUAUUUUCUUAUUCAUAAAUUAUUAUUAAGCUAUAGGAAUUAAGUUUUGAGAUUAGAAAAUAUUUAAAAUUCUUUCUAAAAAUAAAAGAAAAAGGCCUAAGGUAGG
rnacentral:lncRNA from 1 species